UACAGAGGUCUCAAGCGUUGUUCGGAUUCAUUGGGCGUAAAGGGUGCGUAGGCGGCGCGGUAAGUCGGGUGUGAAAUCUCGGAGCUUAACUUCGAAACUGCAUUCGAUACUACCGUGCUUGAGGACUGGAGAGGAGACUGGAAUUUACGGUGUAGCGGUGAAAUGCGUAGAUAUCGUAAGGAAGACCAGUGGCGAAGGCGGGUCUCUGGACAGUUCCUGACGCUGAGGCACGAAGGCCAGGGGAGCAAACGGG
rnacentral:rRNA from 1 species